AUGUCCUGGGGCGCAGCGAGCUAUUCUCGCAGAACACACCCACGCACGCGCGCCCCCAUGAUGGCCCAGCCUAGCCUCCUCCUCCUCCUCGCCGCAGCGGCGGUCCUCUUGCUGUCACUCUGCGACGCACACAACAAGCUCGCCAAGAAGAGCGAUGAUGUUGUCAACGGGCCCCUCCUCACCUCUAAGCUCGGCGCCAAGCGCACGCUGAUCGUCGGCCCCAACGACGAGUUCAAGACCAUCCAGUCCGCCAUCGAUGCCGUGCCGGACGGCAACUCCGAGUGGGUUGUCGUCCACCUCCGCGCCGGCGUCUACACGGAGAAAGUCGUGAUUCCGGAGACGAAGCCGUUCAUCUUCGUGAGGGGGAACGGCAAGGGCCGGACGUCCAUCUCCUACGAGUCCGCCUCCCCGCACAACACCGAGUCGGCCACGUUCGCCGUGCACGCAGACAAUGUCAUCGUCUUUGGCAUUAGCUUCAGGAACGCGGCGCGCGCGGGGCUGCCGAACAACCCGGAGAUCCGCACGGUGGCCACCAUGGUCAGUGGCGACAAGGUGGCCUUCUACCAUUGCGCCUUCUACAGUCCCCACCACACCCUCUUCGAUAGCGUUGGCCGCCACUACUAUGAGAGUUGCUACAUCCAGGGCAACAUCGACUUCAUAUUUGGCGGUGGCCAGUCCAUAUUCCAGUGCGCGGAGAUCUUCGUGAAGCCCGACCGGCGGACGCCGAUCCUGGGGUCCAUCACCGCGCAAGACCGCAAAGAGGAGAGCGGAAGUAGCGGCUUUGUCUUCCUCAAGGGGAAGGUAUACGGUGUCGGGGAGGUGUACCUAGGCCGCGCCAACGAGGCCUACUCGCGCGUCGUCUUCGCCGACACCUACCUCUCCAAGACUGUCAACCCUGCCGGCUGGACCAACUACAACUUCUCUGGCAGCACCGAACACGUGAUGCUCGGGGAGUUCAACUGCACGGGGCCGGGGGCCGAGAGAUCGCAGCGUGUGCCAUGGUCGCGACAGUUAGACCAGGCGGAGGCAGCCAAGUUCCUCACCGUCGACUUCAUCAACGGCAAGGAUUGGCUCCCAGCGUUCUACUACUGA
rnacentral:rRNA from 1 species